rnacentral:rRNA from 1 species
CCUACGGGUGGCUGCAGUGGGGAAUAUUGGACAAUGGGCGAAAGCCUGAUCCAGCCAUGCCGCGUGUGUGAAGAAGGCCUUCGGGUUGUAAAGCACUUUCAGUGGGGAAGAAAGCCUUGGGGCUAAUACCCUCGAGGAAGGACAUCACCCACAGAAGAAGCACCGGCUAACUCCGUGCCAGCAGCCGCGGUAAUACGGAGGGUGCGAGCGUUAAUCGGAAUUACUGGGCGUAAAGCGCGCGUAGGCGGUCUGAUAAGCCGGUUGUGAAAGCCCCGGGCUCAACCUGGGAACGGCAUCCGGAACUGUCCGGCUAGAGUGCAGGAGAGGAAGGUAGAAUUCCCGGUGUAGCGGUGAAAUGCGUAGAGAUCGGGAGGAAUACCAGUGGCGAAGGCGGCCUUCUGGACUGACACUGACGCUGAGGUGCGAAAGCGUGGGUAGCAAACAGGAUUAGAUACCCCAGUAGUC